AUUGAACGCUGGCGGCAUGCUUUACACAUGCAAGUCCAACGGUAACAGGCCGCAAGGUGCUGACGCGUGGCGAACGGGUGAGUAAUGCACCGGAACGUGCCCUGCCGUGGGGGAUAACUACUCGAAAGGGUAGCUGAUACCGCAUCCGAUCUGUGGUUGAAAUCGGGGGACCGUAAUGCCUCGCUCCAUUGGAGCGGCAUAUGUGAGAUUAGGUAGUUUGUGGGGUAAAGGCACACCAAGUCCACGAUCUGUAGCCGGUGUGAGAGAACGAUGGCCGACACUGGGAGGGAGCCACGGACCAGAGGCCUACGGGAGGCAGCAGUGUGGUAUUGUGGGCAAUGGGCGCAAGUCUUAUCCAGUAAUGCCGAGUGCAAGAAGAAGGCCUUCGGGUUGUAAACUGCGUUUGUACGGAACGAAACGGCUCUGGUUAAGACCCGGGGCUAAUGACGGUACCGGAAGAAUAAGCACCGGCUAACUACGUG
rnacentral:rRNA from 1 species